rnacentral:tRNA from 1 species
GAUUCGCUAGCUCAGUCGGUAGAGCACAUCCCUUUUAAGGAUGGGGUCCCGGGUUCGAGCCCCGGGCGAAUCA